UAUAGUCACAAUGCAGCCUAAACACAGCCAUCUCUUCUAAUAUUUGAAGCAAAGGAGGUGCAUGCUUUGAUAGUACUUGGAUGGGAGACCACCAAGGAAUACCAGACAUGUCUAGAU
rnacentral:rRNA from 1 species